rnacentral:rRNA from 1 species
CACCAAGAAAUUAAGUCAUAUUUUUUGGUAAAAAGACAGUUAGGCCUUAAAAUUUUAAGGUUAUUUAAUUUUUUAUGAAAAAGUAAAAUUUGAACAUAAAUUUUUAAUUUUAUAAUAACUUAUAAGUCGAAUCUGUGAAAACCUUGAGGGAAACUGGGAUUAGAUACCCCAUUAUUCUUGGAUUUAAAUCAAAAUAGGAUAUUUUACCUGAGUACUAUGAAUAAAACAAAUUUAAAACUCAAAGGGCUUGGCGGUGUUUUAGACCGCUCAGGGGAACCUGUCUCAUAAUCGAUAGUCCACGUAAAACCUAACCUUUUUUUGCUAUUUACAGCUUGUAUACCGUUGUCGUCAGGUAACUUUUUAGAAACUAAAAGUUAGCUAAAAGUAUGAUAUGCUGAAACGUCAAAUCAAGGUGCAGCCCAUAAAGGGGGGAGGAUGGGUUACAAUUAUUAAAUUAUAAUAACGAAAAACUUUUAGAACUAAUAGUAUUGAAGGAGGACUUGAAAGUAAACUGAAUUAUAUAAAUAUCUUGAAUAAGGCUCUGAAACGUGC